UACGUAGGUGGCAAGCGUUGUCCGGAUUUACUGGGCGUAAAGAGCGCGCAGGCGGUCGAUCAAGUCGCGUGUGAAAGCCCCCGGCUCAACUGGGGAGGGUCGUGCGAUACGGGCGGACUGGAGGCCAGUAGGGGGAUGCGGAAUUCCGGGUGUAGUGGUGGAAUGCGUAGAGAUCCGGAGGAACACCAGCGGCGAAGGCGGCAUCCUGGACUGGUCCUGACACUCAGGAGCGAAAGCGUGGGGAGCGAUCCGG
rnacentral:rRNA from 1 species